rnacentral:rRNA from 1 species
UACGAAGGGUGCGAGCGUUAUUCGGAAUAACUGGGCGUAAAGGGCGCGUAGGCGGUGCCUUAAGUUGACGGUUAAAAACCUUGGCUUAACCAAGGGAGUGCCGGCAAUACUGAGGUGCUAGAGGGUAGUAGAGAGGAGUGGAAUUCUCGGAGUAGCGGUAAAAUGCGUAGAUCUCGAGAGGAACACCGAUGGCGAAGGCAGCUCCUUGGGCUACAUCUGACGCUAAGGCGCGAAAGCGUGGGGAGCAAACAGG